UGGGGAAUAUUGCGCAAUGGGGGAAACCCUGACGCAGCCAUGCCGCGUGAGUGAAGAAGGUCUUCGGAUCGUAAAGCUCUUUCAACGGUGAAGAUGAUGACGGUAGCCGUAGAAGAAGCCCCGGCUAACUCCGUGCCAGCAGCCGCGGUAAUACGGAGGGGGCUAGCGUUGUUCGGAAUUACUGGGCGUAAAGCGCGCGUAGGCGGACUGAUCAGUCAGGGGUGAAAUCCCGGGGCUCAACCCCGGAACUGCCUCCAAAACUAUUGGUCUAGAGUUCGAGAGAGGUGAGUGGAAUUCCAAGUGUAGAGGUGAAAUUCGUAGAUAUUAGGAAGAACACCAGUGGCGAAGGCGACUCACUGGACAGGUAUUGACGCUGAGGUGCGAAAGCGUGGGGAGCGAACAGGAUUAGAUACCCUGGUAGUCCACACCGUAAAACGAUGAAUGCCAGUCGUCGGGUAGCAUGCUAUUCGGUGACACACCUAACGGAUUAAGCAUUCCGCCUGGGGAGUACGGUCGCAAGAUUAAAAGCUCAAA
rnacentral:rRNA from 1 species